CAAGGUGUAGCGCAAUCUAGUCAGUGCAUCUGUUUUGGAUUCAGAGGGUCAUAGGUUCGAAUCCUGUCACCUUAA
rnacentral:tRNA from 1 species